CCUACGGGCGGCUGCAGUGUGGAAUAUUGGACAAUGGGGGCAACCCUGAUCCAGCCAUGCCGCGUGUGUGAAGAAGGCCCUCGGGUUGUAAAGCACUUUCAGUGAGGAAGAACGCCUGGUGGUUAAUACCCAUCAGGAAAGACAUCACUCACAGAAGAAGCACCGGCUAACUCCGUGCCAGCAGCCGCGGUAAUACGGAGGGUGCGAGCGUUAAUCGGAAUUACUGGGCGUAAAGCGCGCGUAGGUGGCUUGAUAAGCCGGUUGUGAAAGCCCCGGGCUCAACCUGGGAACGGCAUCCGGAACUGUCAAGCUAGAGUGCAGGAGAGGAAGGUAGAAUUCCCGGUGUAGCGGUGAAAUGCGUAGAGAUCGGGAGGAAUACCAGUGGCGAAGGCGGCCUUCUGGACUGACACUGACACUGAGGUGCGAAAGCGUGGGUAGCAAACAGGAUUAGAUACCCGUGUAGUC
rnacentral:rRNA from 1 species